rnacentral:lncRNA from 1 species
CCAAGAUGAGUAAUGUUAUAUGGCACAACAUAUUUGUCGCACCAUAUGCACGAAGCAUCAACUACUUGCCUUUUCCAUCCUAAUUAAUGUCCUUCUUAGAUAUCUCAUUCACUUAUAUUUUGUUGGAACCAAAGAAAAAAAAUGAUAUUCCAUAAUAUUAAUGUCACACAUGUUUUUUUAAGGGAAUUAAUGUCAAUAUGUUAUAUUUUGUAUUAUACAUAUUAUUUUACAGGAUAUCUCAAGCUUAAAGGUUGACGAACUAAUAGGUUCUCUGCAAAACUUUGAAAUAACUGUCAACAACAAAACUGACAAAAAGGGCAAGGGCAUUGCUUUUGCCUCUAGUAUUGAUUCUGAUGAGGCACAAGGAAAUCAUGAGGAUGAUGAAGAUAUGUCAGAGUCCCUAGCUCUGCUUGGAAGACAGUUCAAAAAAUUCUUCAAUAAAUUUGACAGAAGAUCUAGAUCGAAUGGUCAGAACAUCAGAUCCAAUAUUGAUAAUCAACCAAGUAAAGACAAGAUGGCAAGAGCUGAUGAGAAGAAUCCUCAAUACAGGGGUGUUUAAUGUCAUGAAUGUGAAGGAUAUCGUCAUAUCAAAACAUAAUUUGCUACUUUUCUGAAAAGGCAAAAUAAGAGUUUGACUGUCUCAUGGUCAGAUGGAGAUGACUCAGAAGAUGGAGCUAUAACCGAGUCUACUAAACAUGCCACUGCAAUGACUGGUAAAAUUAUGUCCGAUAUAGAGUCAUAUGAUGAAGAGUUGAGUUAUGAGGAAUUGGCUGUCUCUUACAAUGAUCUUAUUGUAAAAAAUACUGACACGAGUCAGAUGCUUGAGAAACAAAAAGACACCAUCAGCAAGCUGUAGGUUGAAAGGAAUGAGAAUCUUGCUAGAAUCCCAGAACUCAAUGAUGAGGUGAACCAACUGAAUUCACAACUAGAUCAUAUAAAGAAGGAUGAUUAGAGAGGGAGGGGGGAAUCAAGAAGAGAGAUGGAGGAGGAAAUUCUGUUUUAGAGUGAGAUAGAAGUGAUGAAAAUGAAUGUAGAGAGCUUUGGGACUUUGAGCGGGACUUUAUAUAGUCUCAGGUGUAAAUUACUCAUUUGCUUUCUUGAGAUUAAA